UCCACGACUUCCUCGCGCCACUCUUUCUCGGUCCGCCGGUCUCCUCCGGAGAGCUCGCCCUCACCACCACGCCGCCGCCUCCUGGUCGCUGGACUGGACGACGCCUCCGGGAAGCUCCUCCCGCCUCCACGCCUAGUCACAGGCCGUGAAUCCAACGCCGGUCGAAGAUGUCGUCGCAUCCAGGCGACCUGCAGCUCAUGGACGGCCCAGUGCUCAUCCAGCACGGCGACAAGGACGACCUGCUUAUCGACGUCCCGGAGCCCGUCCAGCAGGACGACGAUGACGACGACAAGGACCACCUGCUGCUGGCCCGGACCAAGAGGUGGAUAAAGGAGAUGCAGGUGGGGCUGAUGCUGCUGGCGACCAUCCUGGCGUCGCUGGCCUACCUGUCCGCCCGUACCCCCCGGGCGGGUUGUUCUGGAGAGAGGACAAAGCCGGGCCAUACCCAUACGGGCACGACGCCGGCGACCCGGUGCUGCCCGGCCAUCCCAUUUUCAAGUCGCUUAGCACCGUGGCCUUCCUGACCUCACUGCUGCUGGUCUCCAGCGAGUGCUUCUACCGAACGUGGGACAGGGUGGCAGGGCUGCUGCUCCUCGCUCUCCUCGACCUCGCCUGCCUUGUUGGCGCCUACGUUGUCGGCGCCAGUCCGAAUGGCUGGGGCUGGUUCAUCAUCGUCGUAUUCCCCUGCACCGUCGUCGCCUGCAGUUUCCUCUUCUUCUCCGUCCCCUUCAUCGGACGGGUAAUAUGGAUGCUACUGCGGUUCCUGCGUCGUCUCGCCAGGCUCUGGUGGUGACCAGAAUGGAGAGAGCGGCAAGGAGCGGGCGCUGUGGGUCAUCUUCCGGCCAUUCCUCGCAGAUCAAGUCGUAGGCAUCGUUCGCUGCUAGUAAUCUACAUUAUUCUCUGGCUCGGCAAUGGCUCUAGGAUUAGUGCAAUCGUAUGUUGUCGUAGUAGGAUCUAGUCCAUGUAGCUAAGAAGCGAAUGUCUGUCUGUACGUAGAUGAUCAAGGGUGCCACCCCGGUCUGUUUUAGUGGUUAUUAUUGUACCGUACGAUGUUGGCUUCAGCAAAUGUCCGUCGUAGAAGAACGAGUAAAAUGCAUGACUAGCUUUAACAAAUAAGCAAUGUUGUGUUGGAGAUGAUUCAGUAUUGAUGAUAAUAGCUAGCUAGCUAGCUAGCUAGUGGCCGAUCUU